rnacentral:rRNA from 1 species
AGGACGAACGCUGGCGGCGUGCCUAAUACAUGCAAGUCGAGCGGAUGAUGAGAGGAGCUUGCUUCUCUCUGAUUUAGCGGCGGACGGGUGAGUAACACGUGGGUAACCUACCUUAUAGAUUGGGAUAACUCCGGGAAACCGGGGCUAAUACCGAAUAAUACUUUUUAAACACAUGUUUGAAAUUUGAAAGACGGUUUCGGCUGUCACUAUAAGAUGGACCCGCGGCGCAUUAGCUAGUUGGUGAGGUAACGGCUCACCAAGGCAACGAUGCGUAGCCGACCUGAGAGGGUGAUCGGCCACACUGGGACUGAGACACGGCCCAGACUCCUACGGGAGGCAGCAGUAGGGAAUCUUCCACAAUGGACGAAAGUCUGAUGGAGCAACGCCGCGUGAAGUGAAGAAGGAUUUCGGUUCGUAAAACUCUGUUGCAAGGGAAGAACAAGUAGCGUAGUAACUGGCGCUACCUUGACGGUACCUUGUUAGAAAGCCACGGCUAACUACGUGCCAGCAGCAGC